rnacentral:rRNA from 1 species
AGAACGAACGCUGGCGGCAUGCCUAACACAUGCAAGUCGAACGAGACCUUCGGGUCUAGUGGCGCACGGGUGCGUAACGCGUGGGAAUCUGCCCCUUGGUUCGGAAUAACAGUUAGAAAUGACUGCUAAUACCGGAUGACGACGUAAGUCCAAAGAUUUAUCGCCGAGGGAUGAGCCCGCGUAGGAUUAGCUUGUUGGUGAGGUAAUGGCUCACCAAGGCGACGAUCCUUAGCUGGUCUGAGAGGAUGAUCAGCCACACUGGGACUGAGACACGGCCCAGACUCCUACGGGAGGCAGCAGUGGGGAAUAUUGGACAAUGGGCGCAAGCCUGAUCCAGCAAUGCCGCGUGAGUGAUGAAGGCCUUAGGGUUGUAAAGCUCUUUUACCCGGGACGAUAAUGACAGUACCGGGAGAAUAAGCUCCGGCUAACUCCGUGCCAGCAGCCGC